UACGUAGGGUGCAAGCGUUAAUCGGAAUUACUGGGCGUAAAGCGUGCGCAGGCGGCUAUGCAAGACAGAUGUGAAAUCCCCCGGGCUCAACCUGGGAACUGCAUUUGUGACUGCAUGGCUAGAGUGCGGCAGAGGGGGAUGGAAUUCCGCGUGUAGCAGUGAAAUGCGUAGAUAUGCGGAGGAACACCGAUGGCGAAGGCAAUCCCCUGGGCCUGCACUGACGCUCAUGCACGAAAGCGUGGGGGAGCAAACAGG
rnacentral:rRNA from 1 species